rnacentral:rRNA from 1 species
AGUGAACGCUGGCGGUAGGCCUAACACAUGCAAGUCGAACGGCAGCACAGUAAGAGCUUGCUCUUACGGGUGGCGAGUGGCGGACGGGUGAGGAAUACAUCGGAAUCUACUUUUUCGUGGGGGAUAACGUAGGGAAACUUACGCUAAUACCGCAUACGACCUACGGGUGAAAGCAGGGGAUCUUCGGACCUUGCGCGAUUGAAUGAGCCGAUGUCGGAUUAGCUAGUUGGCGGGGUAAAGGCCCACCAAGGCGACGAUCCGUAGCUGGUCUGAGAGGAUGAUAAGCCACACUGGAACUGAGACACGGUCCAGACUCCUACGGGAGGCAGCAGUGGGGAAUAUUGGACAAUGGGCGCAAGCCUGAUCCAGCCAUACCGCGUGGGUGAAGAAGGCCUUCGGGUUGUAAAGCCCUUUUGUUGGGAAAGAAAAGCAGCAGGUUAAUACCCCGCUGUUCUGACGGUACCAAAAGAAUAAGCACCGGCUAACUUCGUG